CACAAGGGGUGAAGCCUGCGGUUCAAUUGGAGUCAACGCCAGGAAUCUUACCCGGGGAGACAGCAGAAUGAAGGUCAAGCUGAAGACUUUACCAGACAAGCUGAGAGGAGGUGCAUGGCCGUCGCCAGCUCGUGCCGUGAGGUGUCCUGUUAAGUCAGGUAACGAGCGAGAUCCCUGCUCUUAGUUGCAUCGGUUAUUCUCAGGAACAGCCGGGCUAACUAGGAGGACCGCCACUGCUGAAGUGGAGGAAGGAGGGGGCCACGGCAGGUCAGUAUGCCCCGAAACCCUGGGGCUACACGCGGGCUGCAAUGAUAGUGACAACGGGUCCCGAACUUGAAAGAGGGAGGCAAUCCUUAAACACUAUCUCAGUUAUGACUGAGGGCUGCAACUCGCCCUCACGAAUAUGGAAUCCCUAGUAACCGCGCGCCNCANCCGCGCAGUGAAUACGUCCCUGCUCC
rnacentral:rRNA from 1 species